UUUGAAAAUAAGAACAUGAACCAGGCCUGCACCACACAUAAAGGUCUGGUUCAUGUGGUGUAGAAGAAGGAGAAGAAAGAGUUAAAGAGUAUAUUACUGCCAGAUCGACCUUACUCCCUCUUGUCUUCUACAAAACGAGAGAAACAAAAUUAAAUUGCAGGAAUUUUCUCUGCAACUCUUACUCUAAUCUCUCACUUUCAUACCUUUUGUAAAUAUAUUUUUAUUUUAAUACUACAAUUAUUAUUUUUUGUGGGUACAAGUGUAUAUAUAUAUAUAUGUAUAUAUAUUUAAAAGACAAACACAAUAAUUUAUACAGAGAGGAUAUUUUGUGUGUAUACAAGAGAGCAGUCACGAGGAGAAGUAAGUCUUACACAAUACACAGAGAUCUAAAGAGAAUAAUUAUUCUCUUUUACUUCCUUUCUUCCCCCAACAACAAAUAAAACAAAGAAACUGCUGCCUGCAAAAGCAUUUUUCUGCACCACAUAACACCAAAUUCAUAUUGAUGGCCUCGUAAAUUAUAUUGAUUUUCUCUUUUCUAGUUUCAACUGUACAAAACUAUGUCCUUUCAGAUUAUCCAAAACUAAAAUACAGAAUACGAUUUAGGGUUUUGCUUUUUUUUUUUUCUCGGUUGGAAAAUUUUCAUGGAGAGACAUGAUAGGUGCUGGUUUAUAUUUGAGUAGCUCAGGAGGGAUAGACAAGGAAGGAGAACGUGAGUUGGACGGGAACGGAAACAGACAAUCAUCAAACACCGUGUCAGUCGGUGACUGACAUAGAGUUUGUGAGUAAAAGAAGAAAAAAGAGAUCGAACACAACGUGGGGUCUUACAAGGUCAAGAAAAGGUCUUACAAGGUCAAGAAGGAAGCACGAACGGAUUAAAGAAAGCGGGACGAAGAAUGGAAGAAAGCGACAAACAGAAAAGAAUAAAGCUCGGGUAGGAUAGCACCAAUAAUUUUUUAUCCGAAACAAUAAGAUUUUCCCAAGAAUAUGAAUGGAGUUGUACGAGUAGUCCUUGAAAGAGUCGAAUAAUUGGUUCUGCUGCUCAUACGGCUUCCAUGCAUCAAUCUUGUUUUGCCUUGAGGUAGGUGAUGGUGAUGGUGAUGGUGACGGUGACGGUGAUGAUCAUGAUGAUGAAGAUGAUAACCUGCAUGACAAUCAUGUAGGUGGAACAUGAAUAAUAAUCAUCUCGUGAUGAUUUCAGAAUGAUGGACAUCAAAAUCAAUAACGUAAUUGGAAAAGCAAAUGAGAAGCAUACAUUUACGUAAUAUAACAACUAGUAAGAACCCAAAAUUUUUACGUAUUCCUGUUACUAAAAUGAAAAUAUACCCAAUAAAUAUCUAUGCAAGACACACACACACACACACACACACACCUGGUAGUAAGUUCAUUCCUGAAGCUUCUUUUUACGGAGAGGGUGAAAUGUGAAAGUGGAGAAGAGGAAGGAAGAGUGAGAGAGAGCGAGGGAGGGAGGGAGGGAGGGAGGGAGGAAGGGGAAAGCCUUUUUAAGGGGCUGCAGUGAUGGACCUGACAGUGACAGGCCCAGGAAGAAUGUAAAAAACACGGGCUGGAUGACGUCAGCGCAUAGUGGGAACCGCCUGCCCAAAUU
rnacentral:lncRNA from 1 species